rnacentral:lncRNA from 1 species
CCAGGCCUCCCACCAAUACCCACACUCACUAGAACCACUCGCUCCUGGGAUUCGUUGCCGGCGGCCCAAAGCAGAAGAUACAAGACAACCAAGAGUGCGUUCAGUCACCGGCGGGCUCUAGACUGGGGCUCGAACGUCCGGACCGCGGCGUGAUGACGUUACAAGGACGUCCGACCCCGCCUCGUGUCGCGCACAGCCAAUAGAAGUCACCGCUGGGUUUGAACCGUCCUCCACUCGUCCCGCGACGCAAUCGCGUGUGGGCGUUGUCGGCAAGCCGGAAGCUGGCUUUAGACGGUAGCCCCGUGGGGACAAGAACCGCGAGCCCUCCCAGUCUCUCGUACGUGUACACAAUAGGCUAGUUUUGACUCAAUCUACAGUAGUCAAUAGGCCCUCAAGUGUAAAAUAAUAGGAACAGGAGUUGUGAGACUGCGCCCUGCGCUAUGACGAUAAAAACAAAUUGGGUGGAGAGAAGAGGCAUAAAGAUGAAUCCUCCCUUGGAAAGCUUGUUUAGUGAAUAAAAUUGGAAUGGCGCACCUGGCGUGGGAAUAGCGAGUGCGAAUCAAAGGAAGCGGGAAACGCGUCGUUUGAGGAAUGGGAGUAGCCACUGAACCGUGACGCUGGAAAGGUAUCCUGUAGGGUUUUGGGAUGGUGAGAUAUGGACAGGACAGAGAGGCAGCUGGCAGAACUGUAUCUGUUAAGAUCAGGAUGACCUGGAACUCAGAAAUCCGCCUCCUUCCUAUGAAAUGUAAAGUGUGAGCUGCCACUUAAAGCCCACGGUUUACAGUGAGAGUGAUUGAAUUGUGCAGUCCAAUUUGGGAUCCCCGGUUAAAUAAUCUAUGAGACAGUACCUUAUAGACCAAUUUCUGGUCUCACAUUGUACAAGCAACUUUUGGUAAUGAAACAACACUUGGUUAAUUUUGUAUCAUUUGCUAGUGUUAGGUUGGUAGGUUUCUUCCCAUCUCCUUUUUAUAAUGAACUUUUAUUUUAGAAUAAAUUUAAGUUUACAGAAAUAAAAAUUGCAAAGGUAAUACAGGAAUUGAGCACACUGCC